rnacentral:lncRNA from 1 species
GAAGGGGAAGAAGAGGAUAUUUUAAACCAAUGCCGAGCAGAAGCUUCAAUAAAAGGAGAUUUGUCACCAAUGCAUAGCGCAAGAAAGAAGAAAUCUCAUCAAAGGAAAAGAAGUUGGGACGGCAGGGCGUGUGAAGACGUAAUCAUAAGGAAGCUCCCAAUGAGAAAUGCAAAUCUCAUCAAAGGGAAAGAAGUUGGGACGGCAGGGCGUGUGAAGACGUAAUCAUAAGGAAGAUCCCAAUGAGAAAUGCAAAGCAAAAACAAACAGUGCAACCUUCAGUCUUAAAACCUACUCGACUGAGGAACAAGCGGGAAGUUUAAAGACAGUUGAAGUCAACACUACACAUAAUUGAACAAAAGAAAGCAAUUAUGCUUUCUUUCCCAUCUCUUUAGUGUUUAUUGUUUUCUUGCUUUUAUUUUAUGAGACUUUUUUCAGCAACGAUAGGUUUUAUAAGGUAUGGUCGCUGCCGGUGUUUGUUAUGUGGGUGACAAUUCUGGCGUCCACCUCCUUAGCGUAUAAACCUAUCUUUGUAAUUUUAUCUUAAUAGGUCGAAUAUGGGAAGGUUGACACCCUUUCACGUUAUUCACCUAUUUGUACUAUUUUUCUUCUAUUAAUAAAAUCAAAAAUUUGCUAAAAAAAAA